rnacentral:rRNA from 1 species
GAGGAAUAUUGGUUAAUGGGCGGAAGCCUGAACCAGCCAUGCCGCGUGCGGGAAGGAGGCCCUAUGGGCUGUGAACCGCUUUUGCCUGGGGGCAAUAAGGGCGUCGCGCACGUCCGAUGAGAGUACCAGGGGAAUAAGCAUCGGCUAACUCCGUGCCAGCAGCCGCGGUAAUACGGGGGAUGCGAGCGUUAUCCGGAUUCAUUGGGUUUAAAGGGUGCGUAGGCUGUGCGUCAAGUCAGGGGCGAAAUUCCGGGGCUCAACUCCGGGGCUGCCCUUGAUACUGUCGCGCUGGAGUGCGGAUGUCGCCGGAGGAAUGAGUGGUGUAGCGGUGAAAUGCUUAGAUAUCACUCAGAACACCGAUUGCGAAGGCAUCUGGCGAAUCCGUAACUGACGCUGAGGCACGAAAGCGUGGGGAUAGAAC